CACCGUUUCAGUGGCAUUUAAAUCCCCGGCGCUCCUCCAUCUAGGUGACGCGCAGUCGCCCCCCCAGGCAGCCCAGGCGGCCGCAGGAGCUGCGCGGCCGCAAAGGCUUCGGAGCGCUGGA
rfam:Tupaia chinensis contig93724, whole genome shotgun sequence.